ACACACACACACACACAUACACACACAGACAUGUUCACACACACACACAUACAUGUACACACACAUACACACAUGCACACACAGCACAUGCUCACACAUACACAUACACAUGUACACACACAUACACACAUGCGCACACAGGAGAACACACAUACAUGCACACCCAUUCUAAGCAAACUGUCCUAGCACCUAACAUCAAAGAAAAUGGGAAGACAGACGGGAAGUCUCCAGCUCACCUGGGUGAGGAAGGUGGUCCAGAGAACAAUUACCAGAAGAGCUCUUUCUGGACUCUGGCUGUAUGGUUCGACUCAGCUGCCUGGCUCAAACUCCUCUCCCACCUGACUAAUUCAAACUGGGUUCUCUCGGCUUCUGACUGGAUUGCUCUGUGUGGAAAGACUGCCUCUGAACUCCAACUAGACUGCUCCAAACUAAACUGAGCACCACUGCACUGGACUGAACUGCACGGAACUCUCCUCUCUCCUCACAGCUCUUAAGUAGCCCCUCUUUCCUGUCUGAGAGUCGGGUGCAUCCUACCUCUGACUCAUUCUGUCAAAUCUUUCUGUGAUUCAUUUUGUCUGCCCCUCAGUUGGACCUCAUCAUUUGGGAUUAAAAGUGUGAACUCCGGGCAGAGGGAUUAAAGGUGUAUACAGUGUCUAC